rnacentral:lncRNA from 1 species
GGGGAUUUGGAUAGUUGUGUGUUUAGAGAGAGUUUUCUAUUUUUCCGUUCAAAAAUUAUUUGUUGAGAGGGUUUUCUAUUUUUCCGUUCAAAAAUAGUUUGUUAAGAGGGUUUGCAAUUGUUCGUCCGAAAAUUAUAGUUGAGAAAGGGUUUGCAAUUUUUCGGUCCAAAAAUUGUAAUUGAGAGAGGAUUUACAAUGUUU